rnacentral:lncRNA from 1 species
GACACAUUCUAUCUGUGCAUCAUACACCUUGCAGAUUGUUUCUACAGAAAGAGGAUGAAGAUUUCUUAUUUGAUGGUUCUGCUGCUGCUGGGUUCCUUAUUGGCAUUUGACAUGACUGGAGCACAUCGUCACCGGAGAUGCCGUCGUCAUCGCCACAGACGUCAUCGUCGUCAUCGUCACCACGGCUGAAAUAUCAGUGAAAGGUGUCUGUUGCAACAUAGUCAAGAGCAGGGAUUAAGGCGAGCAGCAUGCAAAUAGUCACCCUUUAUAUCUGCAGCGGCGCAUUAUGAUAGUGUUGAAA